rnacentral:misc_RNA from 1 species
GAUGAAGAACGUAGUGAAAUGCGAUAAGUAAUGUGAAUUGCAGAAUUCAGUGAAUCAUCGAAUCUUUGAACGCACCUUGCGCUCCUUGGCAUUCCGAGGAGCAUGCCUGUUUGAGUGUCAUUAAAUUCUCAAGACCUGUCUGCUUUUUUGUUAGGUAUUGGAUUUUGGGGGUUGCAGGCUGUUUCAAAUAAAUAGCCUUGCUCUCCUUGAAUGUAUUAGUGGAGAAAAGCCAUUGAACUCCAUUGGUGUGAUAAAACCUAUCAAUGCCAGGAGCAAUAUCACUACUUCUCUCUGCUGUCUAACUGUGACUGUCUGUAUUAAUUAGUAUGGAUGGUGACAACUUGACCAACUUGACCUCAAAUCAGGUAGGACUACCCGCUGAACUUAAGCAUAUCAAUAAGCGGAGGA